GCCCCGUUGGUGUAGCCCGGCCAAAUUAGCUAAGUAAGAACUUACUAAGGCUAUGCAUUAAGCCCUUUCGAGGCUUAGACUCGAGUUCGAAUCUCGGACGGGGCA
rnacentral:tRNA from 1 species